rnacentral:rRNA from 1 species
UACGUAGGGCGCAAGCGUUGUCCGGAAUUAUUGGGCGUAAAGAGCUCGUAGGCGGCCAGUUGCGUCUGCUGUGAAAUCCCGGGGCUCAACCCCGGGCGUGCAGUGGAUACGGGCUGGCUGAGAGGCAGGCAGGGGAGAACGGGAAUUCCCGGUGUAGCGGUGAAAUGCGCAGAUAUCGGGAGGAACACCGGUGGCGAAGGCGGUU